GGCCGGUUAGCUCAGUUGGUUAGAGCGUCGUGCUAAUAACGCGAAGGUCUUGGGUUCGAUCCCCACACUGGCCA
rfam:Peniophora sp. CONT PENSPscaffold_229_Cont324, whole genome shotgun sequence.